UAACCUGCGGAGGGAUCAUUACACAAUAAAAUAUGAAGGCUGUACGCGGCUGUGCUCUCGGGCCAGUUUUGCGGAGGCUGAAUUAUUUAUUACCCUUGUCUUUUGCGCACUUGUUGUUUCCUGGGCGGGUUCGCCCGCCACCAGGACCACAUCAUAAACCUUUUUUAUGCAGUUGCAAUCAGCGUCAGUAUAACAAAUGUAAAUCAUUUACAACUUUCAACAACGGAUCUCUUGGUUCUGGCAUCGAUGAAGAACGCAGCGAAAUGCGAUACGUAGUGUGAAUUGCAGAAUUCAGUGAAUCAUCGAAUCUUUGAACGCACAUUGCGCCCUUUGGUAUUCCAAAGGGCAUGCCUGUUCGAGCGUCAUUUGUACCCUCAAGCUUUGCUUGGUGUUGGGCGUUUUUUGUCUUUGGUUGCCAAAGACUCGCCUUAAAAGGAUUGGCAGCCGGCCUACUGGUUUCGCAGCGCAGCACAUUUUUGCGCUUGCAAUCAGCAAAAGAGGACGGCAAUCCAUCAAGACUCCUUCUCACGUUNGACCUCGGAUCAGGUAGGGAUACCCGCUGAACUUAAGCAUAUCAAU
rnacentral:rRNA from 1 species